rnacentral:rRNA from 1 species
UGACCUCGGAUCAGGUAGGAAUACCCGCUGAACUUAAGCAUAUCAAUAAGCGGAGGAAAAGAAACCAACAGGGAUUGCCUCAGUAACGGCGAGUGAAGCGGCAACAGCUCAAAUUUGAAAUCUGGCCCCAGGCCCGAGUUGUAAUUUGCAGAGGAUGCUUUUGGCGCGGUGCCUUCCGAGUUCCCUGGAACGGGACGCCAUAGAGGGUGAGAGCCCCGUCUGGUUGGACACCAAGCCUCUGUAAAGCUCCUUCGACGAGUCGAGUAGUUUGGGAAUGCUGCUCAAAAUGGGAGGUAUAUGUCUUCUAAAGCUAAAUACCGGCCAGAGACCGAUAGCGCACAAGUAGAGUGAUCGAAAGAUGAAAAGCACUUUGAAAAGAGAGUUAAAUAGCACGUGAAAUUGUUAAAAGGGAAGCGUUUAUGACCAGACUUGGGCCGGUUAAUCAUCCAGCGUUCUCGCUGGUGCACUUUGCCGGUCCAGGCCAGCAUCAGUUCGUCGCGGGGGAUAAAGGCGUCGGGAAUGUGGCUCCUCGGAGUGUUAUAGCCCUUCGCGCAAUACCCUGCGGUGGACUGAGGUUCGCGCUCUGCAAGGAUGCUGGCGUAAUGGUCAUCAACGACCCGUCU